rnacentral:rRNA from 1 species
GUCUUGUAAUUGGAAUGAUGGCGACGUAAAAGCUCGCCAGAGUACCAAUUGGAGGGCAAGUCUGGUGCCAGCAGCCGCGGUAAUUCCAGCUCCAAUAGCGUAUAUUAAACUUGUUGCAGUUAAAAAGCUCGUAGUUGAACUUCAGCCACUGGUCGCGUCGCUUUUUAGCGUUGCCGUCCGUUGGCUUAUCUUUUUACUUUGAGAAAAUUAGAGUGUUUCAAGCAGACUUUUGUCUUGAAUACUUCAGCAUGGAAUAAUAGAGUAGGACCUUGGUUCUAUUUUGUUGGUUUCUGAACCUGGGUAAUGGUUAAUAGGAACGGUUGGGGGCAUUCGUAUUUAACUGUCAGAGGUGAAAUUCUUAGAUUUGUUAAAGACGAACCAGUGCGAAAGCAUUUGCCAAGGACGUUUUCAUUAAUCAAGAAC